UACGUAGGGUGCGAGCGUUGUCCGGAAUUAUUGGGCGUAAAGAGCUUGUAGGCGGUUUGUCGCGUCUGCUGUGAAAAUCCGGGGCUCAACCCCGGACUUGCAGUGGGUACGGGCAGACUAGAGUGUGGUAGGGGAGACUGGAAUUCCUGGUGAUAGCGGUGAAAUGCGCAGAUAUCAGGAGGAACACCGAUGGCGAAGGCAGGUCUCUGGGCCACUACUGACGUGAGAAGCGAAAGCCAUGGGGAGCGAACAGG
rnacentral:rRNA from 1 species